rnacentral:tRNA from 1 species
AGCUACUAAGUUUAAAACAUAUGUUUUGAAAACAUAAAAAGGAAUAUUUCCAGUAGCUA